AACGAACGCUGGCGGCAGGCUUAACACAUGCAAGUCGAACGCCCCGCAAGGGGAGUGGCAGACGGGUGAGUAACGCGUGGGGAUGUGCCUUGAGGUGGGGAAUAACUGUGGGAAACUACAGCUAAUACCGCAUACGCCCUUUUGGGGAAAGAUUUAUCGCCUUUAGAGCAACCCGCGUCAGAUUAGCUAGUUGGUAGGGUAAUGGCCUACCAAGGCGACGAUCUGUAGCUGGUCUGAGAGGAUGACCAGCCACACUGGGACUGAGACACGGCCCAGACUCCUACGGGAGGCAGCAGUGGGGAAUAUUGGACAAUGGGCGCAAGCCUGAUCCAGCCAUGCCGCGUGAGUGAUGACGGCCUUAGGGUUGUAAAGCUCUUUUAACAGGGACGAUAAUGACGGUACCUGUAGAAUAAGCCCCGGCAAACUUCGUGCCAGCCGCCGCAGUAACAC
rnacentral:rRNA from 1 species